rnacentral:rRNA from 1 species
UGGCGGCAGGCCUAACACAUGCAAGUCGAGCGGUAGAGAGAAGCUUGCUUCUCUUGAGAGCGGCGGACGGGUGAGUAAUGCCUAGGAAUCUGCCUGGUAGUGGGGGAUAACGUUCGGAAACGGACGCUAAUACCGCAUACGUCCUACGGGAGAAAGCAGGGGACCUUCGGGCCUUGCGCUAUCAGAUGAGCCUAGGUCGGAUUAGCUAGUUGGUGAGGUAAUGGCUCACCAAGGCGACGAUCCGUAACUGGUCUGAGAGGAUGAUCAGUCACACUGGAACUGAGACACGGUCCAGACUCCUACGGGAUGCAGCAGUGGGGAAUAUUGGACAAUGGGCGAAAGCCUGAUCCAGCCAUGCCGCGUGUGUGAAGAAGGUCUUCGGAUUGUAAAGCACUUUAAGUUGGGAGGAAGGGUUGUAGAUUAAUACUCUGCAAUUUUGACGUUACCGACAGAAUAAGCACCGGCUAACUCUGUGCCAGCAGCCGCGGUAAUACAGAGGGUGCAAGCGCUAAUCGGAAUUACUGGGCGUAAAGCGCGCGUAGGUGGUUUGUUAAGUUGGAUGUGAAAUCCCCGGGCUCAACCUGGGAACGGCAUUCAAAACUGACUGACUAGAGUAUGGUAGAGGGUGGUGGAAUUUCCUGUGUAGCGGUGAAAUGCGUAGAUAUAGGAAGGAGCACCAGUGGCGAAGGCGACCACCUGGACUAAUACUGACACUGAGGUGCGAAAGCGUG